AUGUCACCGCGAAGAUCGCGAAAAUUUGAAGCCUGCGAAUAUUUCUACACAUACAGUAUUGCAUAUUAUAUGUACAUUGUCUCAUUAAUUAUUAAAAUAGAAUUUUUCAUUUUAUUAUACUCCCAGAAAUUUUGACAGAGCUUGUAGUAACUGUUGGCAAUUUGUUCAUAUUCAUACAUUCACAUUUGUUAGCAUGUUAACUCAUAGAAUGAAAUUUUAAUGGUGCAUUAUUAUUUUCCAUUGACUUUUACCCUAGAAUGGGAAUUCAGGUAGAUUUUGUCAGGGUCACUGAUGCUAAAAAUAGAUUUCCUCACUAUUUUGCAUAAUUAGGACACAGUUUUAGCUUUGUAUUGUUGAGCAUACAUCAAUGAUUCUAAUAUUCAUAUUGCAAAUUAUUCAGGGAAGAAAAAUGCUUGCCAGAAUAAGUUCACCUAUGAUUAUUGGAAUUAAAGUCCCCAGAUACAAGGUGAAAUUAGAUAAAAUGAAAAAGGAAUAUGCAAAAUUAUGGCUGAAUUGGUGUUUUUGUUGUUGUUUUUUUUUGUUUAAAGAGAACCGCAAUUAAAAAGAUUACAAGAUAAAUCUCUAUGUUGAAAGUGUACUAAGUAAUGUUUUACUUUAUGUUAUAAGCAUUUUCUUUGCAUUUGCACUCAGAUUAACCUUUAUAUCUUUUCAUUACAAUAAAUUUUCAGGAAAAGCAUGCAAAAGCUUGAAUGUAGCUAAUGUUCUGUAUUUAUAUUGUAUUUCUUUAAACACAUUUGUAUAUCAAUAUUUGUGAUGUGAUAAAUGUACACAUAUAACAUUUGUUACCCUGAGGCACUUUAUUUAUUUAUUUUACAUUUUGGCUUUUGAUCUUUUGUAUGUUGUAGACAAUCAAUCUACUGCUGUAUUUAUUUUUAAUAUUUAAUUGAAUUGUUACACUCACUAAGUUUCAAUUUAAAUGUCAAAAUGUAUUUAUUUAUACUUGUUUGCUUGAUAUUUAUAUGGUAUUAUAGGGUUACUAACAUUACCCCUAAGUUGCGUCCUCUAUUAUCACUGGUACAGGCAUUGUAUUGUAGAAUAUGGCCGUCACCUUUAAAAUUUUCUGUCCAAGGUUGCAGAACUUUUUUAACAGUAUUACUAGCAUUUAAAGGAAUAUGUUCAUCCUUUAGAAAUUUUAACAUAAUUAAGAUCCAUUUAAAAAAGAAUGUGGCUUACUUAUCACAUCUUGACAUAUUUAUCCAGUGCUGUCAAUUAAGUUUAAAGUAGCAAGUUGAAGGUUUGAGAUUUUAAUUUUUUUAGCUUGACUAUCCGAAGAACUGUCGUUAAGUUUUUACGAGCAAGUUGGUGUCUCCAAAACUACUGAAAGGAUUGGGUUGAAACUUCACACACUUAUAUGACUGCAUACUACAAGUUCACUUUCCAAAGCCCAUAACUCUAAGAUGGAGUUUGACAGAAUUAUGGCCCUUUUUGAUUGUAGAAAAUUCUACAUUAUCUUGGUCGUUGUUUUACGGUCAAGUCUGCAGAAAUCAGUAAUUUUGCAGGCUUCUUGAUGCUUACAGAGAAGACUGUUUGUUCUACAUUAUUGUUAGUUCAAUUAUAGUGUAAAAUGACAGUAUGUUUUGAAGGCCAAUAUGUGUAAUCAUGGAAUUAAGAAAAUGAUUAAGACUUAAUGAAACAACACACCAUUGCAAUUCAAGGAUGUAACAAUGACCACUUUUGUCUUUUCAUUCUUAUUUGUGAACUUAACUUUUUCAUAUAUGUUAGAUUUGACAUCAUUUUUGUUGUGCCAAGAUUUUAUAGGCAACACAAGAAGUGUUAUCUGCAAUCAUGUUUGACUAUGGGCUAUUUGUAGAAAUGUCAACUAAGGGUGUUUAUAGUUAUUCUUGACUACAGUUUGCAUUGAGAUUGACUUAGUUUUUUAUAGACCAAAGUCUUUUUAGAUAGGUUAAACUAGGUUCUUUACAGACAGGGCUAUUGGUAGACAUUUUUGACUCUGGUCUUUAUAGUUUCCGUUUGCAAUGACCUUGAUAAUCAUUGCUGUCUGUUGACAUAUUAAACUAUGGUCUUUAUAGACAUAGAUUUAUAUGGUCUACACAUACAUGGACAUCUGUGGCCUUUAUAGACAUAGAUAACUUUGGUCAUUAUUAGCAUAAUAGAUGAUUAUGGUCUUUAUAGACAUGUAGAACUGUGGCCAUAAUACAUAUUGAGGACAAUGGUCUUAAAGACAUGGGACAAUUAUAAUCUUUAUAGACAUGGACAGCUAUGGUCAUUAUAGACAUAGGACAACUAUGCUCUGUAUAGACAUGGACAACUGUGGCCAAAAUACAUAUUGAGGAUGAUGGUCUUAAAGACAUGGACAAUUAUGGUCAUUGUAGACAUGGACAUCAGUGGUCUUUAUAGACAUGGACAACUGUGGUCAUUAUAAGCAUAUAUGACUAUGGUCUUUAUAGACAUAGACAGCUUUGGUAAACUGUGAUCUGUCUUUAUAGACAUUGAAUAUUAAGCCUUUCUAUAUAAGGACUUCUAUGGUAUACAGUUCAAUUUGUAGACAUUACACGUUAAAGGAUGAUUUUUGGUAAACCGUCUUAAUAGACUGAUCUGAUAGUGGUCUUCAUGAGCAUGGCUGGCUAUAAAAUACAUAUAUCUAUGCCCCCACAUUAUUAUUAUUGGGAGAAAGAUAGAUCAAUAUAUAUGUUACACAACCUGCAUUCAUAGACAAUGUACUAGUAAUAUUAUUAUUUUGAACAUUUAUCACCUACUCUUGAUUAGUGCAAUAAUCAUGUCACCUUGAUUAUCAGACCACCCCAAACUUCAGCACCUUAAUUUAAUAUACAGUAUGUAUUUUUGUUGUUUUUCUUACCAGGUUAUUCCCCACUUUUUUUGUAUCCUGUUUUUGCAUUUGUAUAGAUUUUUUUUAAUUUUUGCGAUUUUAUAGACAGAUAUUUUCUUAUAAAUUUGAAAAGUGCUGUAUAUGUGAAAUUGAUGUUGACUUUGUUCCUCUGAUAAUCUCAUUAUCUGCCUUGGUAUAUUAAGUGUUAAUUUAGACAUGGUAAAAACACAACUGACUUGGUAAAAACACAAGAGACAUGGUAAAAACAUAGUAUGUCACUGUGAUACUGGAAUACCACAAAUUCUCCUAUCCCUGCUUGUUUUUUAAAGUGCUCUAGUUAUAUGAAGUCAGUUGCUCUAAUUACCAUGUAAAUUUAGUAUCAGUUUAUGCAAUAAAUACUAAUAUCAAAUAUGACCGAGGAUGCAAAUUUAACUCAAAUUAUUUAUACAACCUAUUGUGAUAUAAUAGGAUGUUACAUAUUUUACAAAUUUACUAUUGAUAUACUCAAUAAAUAUAAUCAAAAUAGAGCUGUAGAGUUAAAAGAAUGUGCACGCGUUUCUCUAAAAGCAUAAUAUGAGAAGAUUGAAUGUUUUAAUAUUCUCUUUAAUUUUGUGUAGCUAUUGAGAUCCACCUAAAACUGAUGUUUUUUUUCAGCCUUACAUGGAACUACAAGUACUUGAAACAAAUUAUUUUCAAUGUUCUAUAUGGGUUAUAUACUAUUAUAAGACUGUAGUAUAUUGCCCUUAUAGAACAUUGAAAAUAGUUUGUUUCAAGGACCUGAGCAUGGAACAAUAGCUCUUGUAUAUUCAAUGCAGGUUGAUUUUCUAAGCUUACUCCUUGACUACCUCUAUAUAUUAUUAUUAAUGAAUACAGUCAAACCUGUGAUCAAAGGCCACCCAAACAAGAUACAAAACAUACACAUUAAAGACCAGUGGUUUUUAUUAAGAGGUUACUUGGUUCUAUUAAGUCAAUGAAGGUUUGUUAGAAGGAGUGACCUUUACCCACAGGGUGGUUCUUAUUCGGGAUGAUCUUUUAUACAGGUUUGACUGUAAGAAAAUAUUUUAGUUUCUCUUUUUGAAAUAGAUUAUUUAUACAUAUACAUGCAAUUUUUUUCUCUACUUUUUAUAUGGCUUACUUUGUUAUCAUUAUCAAUAUGAUUAGACUGUAGAAUUAUAAUAUGAUUAUAAGAUACUUUCACUUUAUUUAUCUUGAUUAGAUCUUCCUAAAAUAGAAAAAAAAAAAACAACAAAAACAAGUGCUAUGUAAGUGUUAAUUGCAGCUUAAUUGAACUUUACAUGGAAAUUAUAUACAUUAUUACUUGUACAGAGAAAAAUUGAUUUAUUUUUAAGAUACAAUGACUUGCUAUCUACAGUUUUUUACAUGUAACCAGAUUUCGUUUCUUAAUAAAUUUCCAGCUGUGUAUUUUAUAACAGUCCAUUAUUCAUUUAGAAACAAGAUACUUCUCGCUUAAAAUUUAGAGGGUUAGUUAAGUUGUCUACAAGAUCAAUGCUUAACCUUUUGACAAAACAUGUUUUGAGGAUUGUUGAUUCCUUUUUUGUUUUGUUUCUUUUGUAACUUACAUACAUGGAUUUAUGUUUUAUGUUAUAAGUGUUAAAGUAAUUAUAUAAGACAAGUAAAAUAAAGGCUUACAAUCUA